rnacentral:rRNA from 1 species
ACUGGCGACCGGCGCACGGGUGAGUAACACGUAUCCAACCUGCCUCAUACUCGGGGAUAGCCUUUCGAAAGAAAGAUUAAUAUCCGAUAGCAUAUAUUUCCCGCAUGGGUUUUAUAUUAAAGAAAUUCGGUAUGAGAUGGGGAUGCGUUCCAUUAGUUUGUUGGGGGGUAGCGGCCCACCAAGACUACGAUGGAUAGGGGUUCUGAGAGGAAGGUCCCCCACAUUGGAACUGAGACACGGUCCAA